rnacentral:tRNA from 1 species
UUCCUGAUGGUCCAGCGGUUUGCCUCCAUGCUUUCACUGUGGAGGUUCCAGGUUCAAUCCCUGGUUAGGGAA